rnacentral:rRNA from 1 species
UACAGAGGGUGCGAGCGUUGUUCGGAAUUAUUGGGCGUAAAGGGCGCGUAGGCGGUGCCACAAGUCACUUGUGAAAUCUCCGGGCUUAACUCGGAGCCUGCAGGCGAAACUGUGGUGCUGGAGUGCGGUAGAGGGUAGUGGAAUUCCCGGUGUAGCGGUGAAUGCGUAGAGAUCGGGAGGAACACCAGUGGCGAAGGCGGCUACCUGGACCAGCACUGACACUCAGGCACGAAAGCGUGGGGAGCAAACAGG